GUUUGAUCCUGGCUCCAUUGAACGCUGGCGGAAUGCUUUAACAUCCAUUAAGAGCGGCAGCACGAGAGCUUGCUCUUGGUGGCGAGCGCUUAACGGGUGAGUAAUAUAUCGGAACGUAUCCAAUAAUGGGGGAUAACUAAUCGAAAGGUUGGCUAAUACCGCAUACGCCCUACGGGGGAAAGCAGGGGAUCUUCGGACCUUGCGUUAAUGGAGCGGCUGAUAUCUGAUUAGCUAGUAGGUGAGGUAAAGGCUCACCUAGGCUUCGAUCAGUAGCUGGUCUGAGAGGACGACCAGCCACACUGGAACUGAGACACGGUCCAGACUCCUACGGGAGGCAGCAGUGGGGAAUUUUGGACAAUGGGCGCAAGCCUGAUCCAGCCAUUCCGCGUGAGUGAAGAAGGCCUUCGGGUUGUAAAGCUCUUUCGCAAGGAAAGAAACGUUACGAGCGAAUAACUCGUGAUAAUGACGGUACCUUGAUAAGAAGCACCGGCUAACUACGUGCCAGCAGCCGCGGUAAUACGUAGGGUGCGAGCGUUAAUCGGAAUUACUGGGCGUAAAGCGUGCGCAGGCGGUUUUGUAAGUCAGAUGUGAAAUCCCCGAGCUCAACUUGGGAACUGCGUUUGAAACUACAAGGCUAGAGUAUGGUAGAGGGGGGUAGAAUUCCACGUGUAGCAGUGAAAUGCGUAGAGAUGUGGAGGAAUACCAAUGGCGAAGGCAGCCCCCUGGACUAAUACUGACGCUCAUGCACGAAAGCGUGGGGAGCAAACAGGAUUAGAUACCCUGGUAGUCCACGCCCUAAACGAUGUCUACUAGUUGUUGGGAGAGUAAAAUCUCUUAGUAACGCAGCUAACGCGUGAAGUAGACCGCCUGGGGAGUACGGUCGCAAGAUUAAAACUCAAAGGAAUUGACGGGGGCCCGCACAAGCGGU
rnacentral:rRNA from 1 species